rnacentral:rRNA from 1 species
AUUGAACGCUGGCGGCAUGCCUUACACAUGCAAGUCGAACGGCAGCACGGGUGCUUGCACCUGGUGGCGAGUGGCGAACGGGUGAGUAAUACAUCGGAACGUACCUUAUCGUGGGGGAUAACGCAGCGAAAGCUGCGCUAAUACCGCAUACGCCCUGAGGGGGAAAGCGGGGGAUCGCAAGACCUCGCGCGAUUAGAGCGGCCGAUGCCUGAUUAGCUUGUUGGUGGGGUAAAAGCCCACCAAGGCGACGAUCAGUAGCUGGUCUGAGAGGACGAUAAGCCACACUGGGACUGAGACACGGCCCAGACUCCUACGGGAGGCAGCAGUGGGGAAUUUUGGACAAUGGGGGCAACCCUGAUCCAGCAAUGCCGCGUGAGUGAAGAAGGCCUUCGGGUUGUAAAGCUCUUUUGUCAGGGAAGAAACACCGGCUCUAACACAGUCCGGGAAUGACGGUACCUGAAGAAUAAGCACCGGCUAACUACGUGCCAGCCGCCGCCGUAA